rnacentral:rRNA from 1 species
UACGUAGGGUGCAAGCGUUGUCCGGAAUCAUUGGGCGUAAAGCGCGUGUAGGCGGCUCGGUCAGUCUGAUGUGAAAUCUUGGGGGCUCAACCCCAAGCGGUCAUUGGAUACUGCCGGGCUUGAGUCCGGAAGAGGAGAGUGGAAUUCCUGGUGUAGCGGUGGAAUGCGCAGAUAUCAGGAGGAACACCAAUGGCGAAGGCAGCUCUCUGGUACGUGACCGACGCUGAGACGCGAAAGCGUGGGGAGCAAACAGG